GGAAUGGUCCCCACACUGGUGACUGAGAUAUGGGCCAGACUCUACGGGAGGCAGCAGUAAGGAAUAUUGGUCAAUGGGCGAGAGCCUGAACCAGCCAUGCCGCGUGCAGGAAGACGGCCUUCUGGGUUGUAAACUGCUUUUAUACGGGAAGAAAAAGGUCUUGCGAGGCCAAUUGCCGGUACCGUAUGAAUAAGCACCGGCUAACUCCGUGCCAGCAGCCGCGGUAAUACGGAGGGUGCAAGCGUUGUCCGGAUUUAUUGGGUUUAAAGGGUGUGUAGGCGGUAGUUUAAGUCAGUGGUGAAAGUCUUGAGCUUAACUGAAGAAGUGCCAUUGAAACUGGAUUACUAGAGUAUAGUCGAGGUAGGCGGAAUUUAUGGUGUAGCGGUGAAAUGCAUAGAUACCAUAAAGAACACCGAUAGCGAAGGCAGCUUACUAGGCUAUAACUGACGCUGAGGCACGAAAGCAUGGGUAUCGAACAGGACUAGAUACCCUGGUAGUCCAUGCUGUAAACGAUGCUCACUAGCUGUUGGCGAUAUAAGUUCAGCGGCUUAGCGAAAGCGAUAAGUGAGCCACCUGGGGAGUACG
rnacentral:rRNA from 1 species